CUUGUUUUAUACUUAUAUAUAUUUAAUUACACAAAUGUUAAGUAUCAUUUUGCAUAAUAGUUAACGCUAUUUUAAACGGUUCUAAAAAAAUUAUUAAUUACAUAAAUUCAUUUAUAUUUGAAGUGCGAGAAUUGUUCCUCCGGAAAAUAAUUUAACAGGGGAAAACAGAGUAGGAAGAGAGAGGAUUCCUUAAAGCCAAAGCUAUAUGAAGAACUCAAUGCACAAUAACCAUACCACGAGAAUUUAUAACUCCAAAAAUAAAUAUGAUUAACCAUUACUAAAUAAGAACAUUGUUGAAGUUAAACAAAGUACAGAAAAAAUAUCCAAACUAAACGAAUACCCACAAUCCAAAUUACACCAAAUUAGCUCCAUCCCCUGUUCCCAGCCCCUGUCAUUUUAGAGAGAGAACGAAAGAGAAUUUACAGACAAUCAUCUUCUCUCUCCUCAACCCAUUUUCUCUCUCUAGAUGAUGAUUCAGUCGGCAGUAAGAAUUCAAUGAAUGGAAACUCAUCAAAAGUGGCAGCCGCAACAGAGGAAGAAAAAACAGAGUGUUGAGACCAAAACAAUCCCCUCAAAAACAGAGACAAUUUUGAACAAAAAAUCAUCCACAACCCAAUUGGGCAAGCUGAAGGACACCGCCUUCUUCCAUCGUAACCCGGAACUCCUCCUGAAUCUCCUCCAUGAACAACCCUUCUUCCCUAAACUCUUGAACAAGAACAACAAAACAUUUUCCUUAUUACUACUACUAGUAUUCUCCAUGCCUCUGCUUUCUCUCUCUAAAUUCUAGCUUUCUUGUGAGUUUCUCUCUACUUUCUCUCUCUAAAUUCUUACUUUCUUGUGGGUUUGUGUUUGGACUUGAUGUGUUGGUAAGGGUUUUAUAAGGAGGGGAGUUUAGAAUAACUGUUCCGCGUUUAGUUGGCUGGGUCAAAAAGAUGGCUAACGUGUACUGGUAAUGGGGAAUUUUGGAGACUCUGUUUUGCUUUCUCCACUCCUUUUGUAACCGUUUAAGAACAUAACUAGAGUGGAA
rnacentral:lncRNA from 1 species